GCUAAUGCAGUACGAGCGGACACGGGAAUAGCGUGGGUGCGAUCGUUAAGCGGAGUGACUUGGAGUAAAGGGCGCGUAGGCGGUUAUAUAAGAUGGAUGUUAAAUCCCUGGGCGUAACCUAGGAACUGCAUCGAUGACUGGGUGACUGGAGUACUGUAGAGGGUAGUGGAAUUUCCGGUGUAGCGGUGAAAUGCGUAGAGAUCGGAAGGAACACCAGUGGCGAAGGCGGCUACCUGGACAGAUACUGACGCUGAGGCGCGAGAGCGUGGGGAGCAAACAGGAUUAGAUACCCCGGUAGUC
rnacentral:rRNA from 1 species